GACGAACGCUGGCGGCGUGCUUAACACAUGCAAGUCGAACGGAAAGGCCUCUUUCGGGGGGUACUCGAGUGGCGAACGGGUGAGUAACAUGUGAGUAACCUGCCCUUGACUUUGGGAUAACUUCAGGAAACUGGGGCUAAUACCGGAUAGGAGCUCCUGCUGCAUGGUGGGGGUUGGAAAGUUUCGGCGGUUGGGGAUGGACUCGCGGCUUAUCAGCUUGUUGGUGGGGUAGUGGCUUACCAAGGCUUUGACGGGUAGCCGGCCUGAGAGGGUGACCGGCCACAUUGGGACUGAGACACGGCCCAGACUCCUACGGGAGGCAGCAGUGGGGAAUAUUGCACAAUGGGUGGAAGCCUGAUGCAGCAACGCCGUGUGCGGGAUGACGGCCUUCGGGUUGUAAACCGCUUUCGCUCAUGACGAAGCUUUGUGUGACGGUAGUGGGUAAAGAAGCACCGGCUAACUACGUG
rnacentral:rRNA from 1 species